UGUUGACUCUACAAGGUGUCGAAAGCGUUCCACAGGGAUGCUGGCCCAUGUUGACUCUACAAGCUGUCGAAAGCGUUCCACAGGGAUGCUGGCCCAUGUUGACUCUACAAGGUGUCGAAAGCGUUCCACAGGGAUGCUGGCCCAUGUUGACUCUACAAGCUGUCGAAAGCGUUCCACAGGGAUGCUGGCCCAUGUUGACUCUACAAGGUGUCGAAAGCGUUCCACAGGGAUGCUGGCCCAUGUUGACUCUACAAGCUGUCGAAAGCGUUCCACAGGGAUGCUGGCCCAUGUUGACUCUACAAGCUGUCGAAAGCGUUCCACAGGGAUGCUGGCCCAUGUUGACUCUACAAGGUGUUGAAAGCGUUCCACAGGGAUGCUGGCCCAUGUUGACUCUACAAGGUGUCGAAAGCGUUCCACAGGGAUGCUGGCCCAUGUUGACUCCAAUGCUUCCCUCAGUUCCAUGUCAAGUUGGCUGGAUGUCCUUUGGGUUGUGGACCAAUUCUUGACACACACAGGAAACUGUUGAGCCUCAAAAAUCCAGUGGCGUUGCAGUUCUUGACACAAACAGGUGUUCCUGGACCUACUACCAUACCCCCGUUCAAAGGCACUUACAUUUUUUGUCUUGCCCAUUCACCCUCCGAAUGGCACACAUACACAAUCCAUGUCUCAAUAUCUCAAGGCUUAAAAAUCCUUCUUUAACCUGUCACCUCCCCUUCAUCUACACCGACUUGAAGUGGAUUUAACAAGUGACGUCAAUAGCUUUUGCCCGGAUUCACCUGGUUCCGUCUACGUCAUGGAAAGAGCAGGUGUUCUUAAUGUUUUGUAUACUCAGUGUAUAUCUCUCUGUCUCUUACUCUCUCAACCUCACCACUGUGCAGUAGUGUUGUAUUGGUCCCUAUGGCUGGCUGAGCUGGGCCUACUCCCACAUGGCCCUAUAGGGAAUCUCCCCAUGGUCCUAUCUCCAAGGCAUCCGUCCACCAUCCUGUUGUUAUCCCAGUGUGCUGAGUCAUUAUCGGUCCGUGUCUAUGGUUACUGUCUACACAUACAAACAGGUCAGGGCUAAGUUCUUCCCACCCCUGCCCUAACAUGACCCAUUAUGAGAUAAACAAAGGAAUGACCCUGGACCAGUUAUUGUGGGAAUAAUGUUACAACGUGCUGUCUGUGCAAAUAUAGAUAGAGAGAGACAUCGUCUCUUUAGCCGUCUAGUUCUGAAAAGACACGGCAAAAGCACAAACUAAAGUGGGAAAGUAAAUACGGGCCGUUUUUCUUCUCUUUCCUUUGAUGUCACUGAGGUACAUGUUUGUCAAAUGUCAGUCGUUUUUUGUGCUUACGAAACAAUUGUGAACAAAAUACGAAACUGAAAAGAAAAACGAAUGGCUGUUAAAAGCUUUACCUAAUUGAGUAAUUUUAUCAAUUGAUGAGAACGCAAGUGAAGGGGGAAGUGAGUUCGGUGUAGCCACACCACAGGCUCUCUGUCACGGUGUCUCUGUGUGUAGAUGUUAAGUAGGAUUUGUUGUCCCCUGUUUUUGGGAAAGUCCAUACCCAACUCUUAAGAGUUUGUGAACCCCACAAAGUGACAGUGGAUCUCGUUGAAGAAAGUGGGCGUUGGAGAACCGAACCAGUUACACAGUAGAAGUUAUUUAUGAGCUACAGCAACGAAGAACUCCGCUAAUCUGUUUUCCUUUCCUUUUUCCUCGUUUGCUUGUACCGGAGAGUAGGACUUGAUGAUGAGUACAUCGUGGUUAGAAGUACAUUUUUUCCCCCAUUGGACCAUGUGAGGAAACGUCCGUUCAAUAUUCCAAAUCCAAAACAUUGGAGGACAUGAUAACUGGUUACAUUGAACUGCUAGCCCGGGAAUGCACUGUAGAUUGGUAAAUGAAGACUAUAAAUAAAGUUGUAAAUUAAAU
ensembl:lncRNA